GUAAAAGACUGUGAUACUUAUUUGUCAACGACCUUCCGUAUGAACACGAGCUUUGAAACCAUAAAGUGACGUUUAGAUGAUUGGUUAUAACUCUGAAUAUAACUCUGCUGUAAUACUAAGAAAUAAGAAUAUCUUCUAGUGGCUCAAAGUCUUCAAGUCAGGAGAAAUGAGCAAGGCUACGAGGGCGUACUGAAUGAGUGUUUUGCAUUAAAGAGGCGAAAUUUAUCUUUCAUUCCGUGUUUCUAUAAAAGAAGGAAAGCAGUUGAUAAAAUACUCGUACUCAUAUUUCAAGAGAAACUGCAACAAGAGCUCGAAAAUUGAUCACAAUGUCAGGAAAAAGACGAAUUGCUAGUAUGUCAGCAAUGUGUUUUUGUUUGAUCAUCAUGGAAUUGUUCGCUUUAGUUCUGUCUUCAGACAUUAACCUCCUUAGAUCAACAACCAAAAUUAUUCUUCCUCUGGGAAGG